GGAGUUGGUAUCUCAGUGGCAGAGUGCAUGCUCUGUAUGUAUGAUGUACUGGGUUCAAUCCCCAGCUUCUCUCCA
rnacentral:tRNA from 1 species